AAGUCGAGCGGUAACAGAAAGUAGCUUGCUACUUUGCUGACGAGCGGCGGACGGGUGAGUAAUGCUUGGGAACAUGCCUUGAGGUGGGGGACAACAGUUGGAAACGACUGCUAAUACCGCAUAAUGUCUACGGACCAAAGGGGGCUUCGGCUCUCGCCUUUAGAUUGGCCCAAGUGGGAUUAGCUAGUUGGUGAGGUAAUGGCUCACCAAGGCAACGAUCCCUAGCUGGUUUGAGAGGAUGAUCAGCCACACUGGAACUGAGACACGGUCCAGACUCCUACGGGAGGCAGCAGUGGGGAAUAUUGCACAAUGGGCGAAAGCCUGAUGCAGCCAUGCCGCGUGUGUGAAGAAGGCCUUCGGGUUGUAAAGCACUUUCAGUCAGGAGGAAAGGGUGUGAGUUAAUACCUCAUAUCUGUGACGUUACUGACAGAAGAAGCACCGGCUAACUCCGUGCCAGCAGCCGCGGUAAUACGGAGGGUGCGAGCGUUAAUCGGAAUUACUGGGCGUAAAGCGUACGCAGGCGGUUUGUUAAGCGAGAUGUGAAAGCCCCGGGCUCAACCUGGGAACUGCAUUUCGAACUGGCAAACUAGAGUGUGAUAGAGGGUGGUAGAAUUUCAGGUGUAGCGGUGAAAUGCGUAGAGAUCUGAAGGAAUACCGAUGGCGAAGGCAGCCACCUGGGUCAACACUGACGCUCAUGUACGAAAGCGUGGGGAGCAAACGGGAUUAGAUACCCCGGUAGUCCACGCCGUAAACGAUGUCUACUAGAAGCUCGGAACCUCGGUUCUGUUUUUCAAAGCUAACGCAUUAAGUAGACCGCCUGGGGAGUACGGCCGCAAGGUUAAAACUCAAAUGAAUUGACGGGGGCCCGCACAAGCGGUGAGCAUGUGGUUUAAUUCGAUGCAACGCGAAGAACCUUACCUACACUUGACAUACAGAGAACUUUCUAGAGAUAGAUUGUGCCUUCGGGACUCUGAUACAGGUGCUGCAUGGCUGUCGUCAGCUCGUGUGUGAGAUGUGGGUUAGUCCCGCAACGAGCGCAACCCCUAUCUUAGUGCUAGCAGGUAAUGCUGAAACUCCUAAGAGACUGGCGGGUGAUAAACGGAGAGGUGGGGACGACGUCAGUCAUCAUGCCUACGUGAGCUACCACUGGUGCUACAUGGCCAUACAAUGCUGCGACCUGCAAGUAGCGAUCCUAAAGGGCCUGAUCGAUGACUGAAUCACUUGAGUCGGAACUCGAGAUAAUCCGGUAUCAUCAG
rnacentral:rRNA from 1 species